UCUUCCCAAAGCCGGCCACAGGAGAGCAGAGCAGAAAGGAACCUCUUGCUUGCUUGUUCCUUGGAGAGGUCUUCUUCCACAGUAACCCAACCCAUCCUUUGCAAAGCCGGCCAAGAUGUAUGACGCUCCGUCAGGGCAGGAGAUGUCCUACACGGACCAUGUGCAGAGGCGCCACGAGGAGAAGGGCUGCCUCUAUGCAUGCGUGUUCACGGCGCUGUGCUGCUUCUGCUGCUACGAGACCUGCGAGUGCUGCCUCGACUGCCUCUGCUGCUGCUGCAACUAAACCAGCCAUGCCAGCCAUGGCCGGAGGCAGCAAGCCGCAGCGGAGAUCCACCGGCCUCCACCGCCUUUAGUUAUCCCAAAAACAAUUUAGGAUUUCAUAAUAAGCGUGUGAGUCUAUUGUCUUAGCUUGAUGUGAACUGUAUCAGGUAUUGCUAUAAUAUUGUCUGCACCAUACAAGACUAUCACUGUAAUCAUCAUCAUCGGUCAUGGUUUCUGUUGCAUCUUUAUUUAAUUUAGCAUCAGAUUCUGGUCCUUGCCUCA